rnacentral:misc_RNA from 1 species
GGUCAAAGGAAAGUUCCUUUCGGCUUUACACUUCUUUACCACCAGCAUGACCAUUUGACAUAAGUCCUAAGCAGUCCUACUUCUAAGCUCACUCCCUUCAAAACAAGCAAGGCUCUAGAUUAUGUCUGUUCUUUGGAUCUCUUUUUUCAAGCCACUACCAUGGAUUGCAAGUUUUCUGCCUGUGCCCUCCUUAUUUGCAGAUUUCAUAUUGUUCCAAGAAAAUCCUUCUAGAAAGAUCUCCUUUAUUAGUUUAUGAACAUUAUAUAAGUUAUAGAGCCUUUAUCAUAUGUUUGCUCAGAUGCUUUCUUAUGCGCAUACUAUAGAAGCAUCCUUUCUUUUCUUC